GCAAAUCCACGCUUAAUCGAUUUUUACAGCACCUACUCCACAAUGUUUUAGUCGUGCGACUCAGGAGAAAGACAGCUCGUAUAUGAGUCCCCAUAGGCUAUAAAAGCCACACUGCACCGAAACCGGGCCGCCGGUGCGUUGCGUUACGUUUACUUCACUGUAAGAGAGAUACCUCGCGCUCUCUCUGUUUAUUUAUUUAUUUUUUAUUAUUAUUUUUUUUUUUGUUACUUGCAUUUGUUUCUCAUGCCACGGAGGUGAUUUGAAGAGAGAACGGUUGGUGCCGUGUUAUAACUGGACCGACUCUGUACCGGUGAAUCGGCUCAGCUGGACACCGGGCGAGCUGCGCGCGCUCACUGACAUCAAUGAAGGAAUGAUGAGAUCCGCGCGCGAGACUCAAGAGCUUCCGGCGCUGCGCUUUAACCCGCGCGGCCACAGCGCAACGGGAACGCGCGCAGGCUUCAGCUCCUUAUUACAGAAGACCUGGAUUUGUGAGUGGCUUUCCUGUGACACUUGACAUGAGAUGACUUGUCGUGUCAGCGUACCGCUCCGGGCUGUCACAAAGCUAAAUCCCUGUAUUUCUCAACCUGACUACUGUUCUACCCUUUUCCUUGCUCCUUCAGUUCACCUGCAGCUACAGCCUCUGUGGUAGACAGACAUUCAAACCCAGAAAGCCCUUGGCGCCAGAAGACAAACAUAGCAGUCCCUCAGCUUGAUACAUCAGCCGGCUGAGCUUUCACCGCUUCUCCCUGUCUGUCAGGGGACAGCAAACCCCACAUUUACUGUCCCUGCAAAUCCCUGCUAAUCUGAUGAAGAACGCAGAUUUACUUUCCAUUUGAUGCGGCAUAUCGGUUUGAUCCGCCAUCGCGUACAUAAUUUCCAACAGCUCCGAAAGAUAAAAAAGAAAAACACAGUACAAAUGCUGAGUGUCAUAUUUAUUUAAAUGGGAACGUGAAUAACAAAUGCUGAUCGACAAGCCAAUGGUUAGGAUGAUUGCUGAAUAUUCUGAGGUGAUUAAACAACAGCAUGCAUAUGAAUUGCACAUGAUUUGGAGUCCUAUUAGAAUAUUUGCCCAGGCUUUGGUUGGAUUUUAUAUUUGCUUUCAUCCAUUAUUAUUUAAUGAGUUACCAGUUAUCUACAUUAUUUUUUCUUGUUAACAUUACAAUGUUUAUUUGUUUGCGAUGUGGGAUAUAAGACUGCUCGACAAUGAAGCCGUCAUAGUUUGCAAUGCAUUAUAUCCUCAGUGGAAUAAUAAAUAUGAACACACACACAAGCAUACACACACACACACACACACACACACACACACAGACGUGCAAAAAGCAGAUAGUCAGCUGAAUUUUUGUGUUUCAAGUUCGUAAUGCUUUACUGGUGUCAUGCCAUAUUGCCUCUGAAUACAAAACCGAAUAAACAAAAAAGUCAUAACCCUCUCAAUCAAAACACUAAACACUAGACUUUGUUGAGCAGUGCGUACUUAGUUACUUAAAAAAAUGAUGAGUAAAUGAAUUUUAAUGUUUUAAUGUUUGGCUUUAUUACACCAUGUACCUGCUCGCUGCUGAUGAAGUGUUGCACAUGUCAGCAUGGAGAUAAAAAUAUUAGAAGAUCACGUUUAAGAGGCCACUUCACUUGUAAUCACCUGAUUGACUGUCACUGAUAGGCUGCAUAUAUCUACAGUCUGGGCUAGAAAAUAAUCAGCCCCAGCCUCUUAUUAUUAUGUUUUGACUCCACUAGAUCAAAAUAAUCAAGCUUAAAACGUAAUAUUUGUUAUAACAGCUACGAAUCAGACAUGGAUGCCAACAAUGAAAACUUAUAUUCCUGUCUUUUUAUUUUAUUUUAUUUUGGGAGACAGGAGGUUUGGCCAUGGAAGCUCAGCCACCCCUGUUAGUUUGUAUUCAAUGUAGGUUCAGUUGUGUCAAAAUGAUAGCAUGUAGAAGAAUCAAUAAAAUCAGCUGUCUAGACUCAAAUAGCAAACACGAGGUCUACUAUUUGAGAAGAAAACUUCACAACCAUUCACUCAAUCAGUACUAAUACUAGCCUGCACACCUAAAUCUUAAAAAUGCAUCUCUUUUUUUUCUUUCAGAAAUUACCAUUUCCAACAGGCAGCGCACAAAUCAACUAGAUUUGCCAUCGUUUUCACUCUUCGACAAAAGCACAGGAUCUCAUUUACUCUUUUCACUCAGUCUGUGACCUAAAAAAGUUUUUUUCGGAGAAGAUUAUAACUCUCUGAUUGUGUAUUGUUUUGUUGUCAUGCACCAGAGUUCAGCGGAUACUUACUGUAUUUCCUAUUUUCAAGUAAACUGAGAUGCACUUGCGUUUAAUCCAAAUGUUGAAUAGUUAAUUGAAUGUUGAAGUAAAUAUAUAGACUGUCAAAUGCACUUUUUAUUGGAAAUUCCAUCUUCUGAUGCUUCAUAAACAGUGCAUUGAUGCUGUCUUAGCAGUUUUGCCUUCAUGAGUGUUGAAAUCUGCCUUUGGUGCAAGGGAAUAUUAAAUAUUGCAUAACAUAUGAUUUAAACAUAAGCAAGCUUACCAAGUGCAGUCCACCAGUAAGAUCCUUUGCGAAUAAACAUUGGGUAUUCUACAUUCAUAGACGGCAUGCUGUUAAUUCAUUUGGUUAAGAAGUCAGAGCAACCUCCGGAAAAUUCUUUACUGUUUGCACUAAUGUUAGUGCCUUCACUUUAAAAGUGUUGAAAUCUGCUCUUGGUGGUAGCUAGAGGCAAGAAGGUACCUGAGGGACAAAACAAGGGAAGGGAAGUCAGCAUCACAUUUAAUCGUCUCUGACACAUCAUCACCCUCAUUGUGCCUCUCAAUCUGAGCAGAGGGUCGAGGCACCAGCACUGAGCCCAGGCAUGCUGGCCUAGGAACGCCAUCUGUCACACCGGUGUCAAGUGGCUCUUUUCUCCAAUGAUUAGCAUGGCCGCCUCAGGUGGGCCGAGCCGAGGGAGCCAUAUGGUGUGUAGUAUGGUGAAGUGGCCACAGUGACCUGAAUGAGAUGACCGCACAGUCAUUAAGUCUAGACGAACACAUUACUGUAUAUUGUAGUCGUCCAAUGUAUAGUAUCGUCAAAGAAGACAUUGAAGACGUCAAGUCCCUGUUUGUUGUUGGAGCCUACCAGUGUAGAAGAUGGAAAGAUGAUUGAUUAUCACUGAUUAUUGAUUGUUACAGAUUGCUGUAAAAGACUAAAAGAUGAACUAUGACAUGAGACAGUGAAAUCAUCUGGACUACAACUUGGAAGAUUGGCCAGAUGUAUAUAUGUAGGUCAGAAGGCACAGUCCAAAAUGCAAGUUGAGAUUGUUGAAAUAGAUAGUUGACAUUGCUGGAAAUACUGACUAAUCACGAAGAAAAACAUGUGCAAGCAGUUUUAAUGAUCCACUAGUUGCCUAGUGUCCCAAAAUGGGAGAGGUUUUUUGGAAGUCAACCAGCAUAAAUAAUAGAAGAUGACAGUGAGGCCCUGAUUUAUUUAUUUAUUUAAUGCUUAUUUGUUUGUUGUUAUGUGGUUUAAUGGUCUAUGUCCAGGGCCAGGUCUCUAUCUAGGCAGACUGAUUCAUUUAGCAUCCGCAAUCCCUUUAGAACAACCGGGUACUUAUUUGGGCACAUAGCAGGUAUUAAAUUUGUGCAAGUCUACCAGCUAAGGACAAAAGUAUAUCAUUAACUAAGCUGUAAUAAUGAGAAAAUUGUGUGACUAAAUAUUACUGAAGCUAAAUUGAGUUUACUUUUGGUUUUUUGCUAUAUGUUCACAAUCACAAAGCCAACUCCAUUUAAACAGAGACAAUGAAGAGAUUUUCAUUCGCAAUUCAUGCAAAGCACACUCUUAUUUUGCUUUCAUAUUUGGACAAUGUUCUUGCUGGCUUUAGCAGCAUUGUUUAGUUUUAGCUUCAUUCUUCCAUGAAUGUCUUCGAGAUCUCAUGGCUAUCCAGAACAAACAUGAGAAAGUAAUAAAUGAAGUGAAAAAUGAAAAAAGAAAAUAUUGCUCAUUCUUUAUUUUGGAUAUUGUAUGGGAUCCAGAUGACAGAUGUUAGUUAACCAGUCAGGAAGGUGGACAAAGAUAGUGGAUGUUGUAAUCAUCUAAGUGUAAAUAAUGGAAGACCUUGUCAUAAAUCAUAAAGGCUAGAUAAUGGGAAGAAAAAAAAUCUUUGUACAUUGUGGUCAUCCAGUCAAGAGGAAGGAAGUAUUAUAAAUACUGGACACUGCAAUUAUCAAGCCUAGAUGAUGGAGGAAGGGUUGAGGAUCACACAUAUAUAAUCAUCAUUUGAUCACAAAUGAAAUCUAUGUGACUUUUUCCCUCAUAAGGUCUUUAGAACGACCAUUGACACCUACCUGUAUUCAUCAGCUUUAUGUGAAAAUUCCUCAAAUGGCAAUUUCCUAAUGCAAACAGACAUGCUAUUUUGCAACACGCAAUCCUCUAGUCUAUUAUUAAAUGAGUAUUGUAUGUGUAUUUGCAUGCAUUAUCAAAAUUGCAAGGGGUCACUGUGUUUGCAUACAUGCAAAUCUUUAGCAAAUCAGUUACAGAUGACAGAGGAAGACAUUUGGCAGUGUAAACACUGAUUUUUUUUUGUUUGUUAUGUACACAGUUAAAUACAGUAUACAACUGAAGUGAGAACCUGGCCACUCCUCCUAGACUGUGCUUAUAAAUAAACUAAAUUGAAGAAGUUAGUUAAGAAAGAAUGAAUAGAAAUUGUAAGAAAAAGAGGUAAUAGAAUGUAACGUGCAAUAUCUUUACACGUUACAUGUUGUAGCAUGAUGCUGCAAAAUGUGCAAACAUUACAGAUUGGAAAGUAAAAGGUCUUUGCCUUGACCCAGAUUCAAACCUGGGACUGCUGUGGCAGUACUAAUCACUAUACUAUCACCUAUAGAGGAAUAAUAUAAGAGAUGCUGUAGUCCUUGUCUCUGUGUGAAAGAAACAGAAGAAGCUUUUAUUAUCGCCACACAUACAUUACAUCACAGUGGAAUUAAUUUCCUUGCAUAUCCCAGUUAAAGAAGUUGGGGUAGAGCGCAGGGGCAGCUAUGAUACAGCACCCCAGGAGCAGAGAGGGUUCAAUUGCCCAACAGUGGCAGCUUAGCAGAUCCUUAACCACUUGAGUUACCACUGCCCCAGGUUAUAAAGUAUAAUUAGUUAGGUUAGUUAGUUAAGUAUAAUUAGUUAGGUUAUAAAGUAAGACUACUAACGGAAAGGAUAUUAACACUGAAAAAAGGGUGACAGAAUUAGCUGAACUAGCCUGCAUUUCUCACAAAUCUGGUAAAUAGGUGGUGAAAUAAACUCUCCCCAGAUGUCUGAACAGCUGAGUCACUGACAAGCGAAGACCUACCUCUUCCUCAAAUACUUCAACUAGCAUUUAUUUUCCCCCUCUUCAUUCUGUUUGUUAAAAAAAAUGUUGAUCUGAAUGCUGUAGCACCUCCCAACAAAGUGUUAGGCUCGUGGUAUUCUUAGUCUGCGACCUAGCGAACCAGUAUUGAUGUAUUCAUCGACAGAGCACUUUUGCACGUCGCUCUGGAUAAGGGCGUCUGCCAAAUGCCGUAAAUGAAAAUGCAAGUAUAAAUAAACUAUACAGUACUGUAAACUGUAUACUGUUUUCGUCUAAACUAUACGGUGCUUUGGAUGAACAAGUACAAAGCAAGAAUUAGGAUGUAUUCCUGUACGUUGAGUGAACGGAUUAAGGGAAAUCUAGAAUGCAGUGAUCAAUGCAGAAAUGAAUGCAGAAAAUAUUUACUUUUAAUAGCUGAGAUAAAGUAUUACUAUUUUACACUAUAUUACACUUUGUCAAAAACAAAAGUUUCAAGGUAAAUGGUGUACGAUCAAAUAAAGCCGAAGUGUUCGGUUCCUGAUCGUGAGAUCGUGCAAAUAAGCAUCACAAUGUGAGCACACACUUUUCACACAUUCUGUAAAAGUGAGUGCACAAUAUUCAGGUGUGAAAAGUUUAGGAAGGUGGCCUUCUGCUCGAGCACACAAUCCAACACUUUCCAUUCUGUUCUGAUCAAGGACGUGAUAAAUAGAGAUAGACAGCAGAUACACUACAAAGCAACGAGUCACCAAAAGCCCUGUCACUGUGAUGCUGAAAGCCCUCUAUUUGAUUCUACAUUAUUUUCUUUUUGAUACGUGAAGUGUGUGUUUUUAGCGCUGUUCCUUAGUCCGUGCCAAGCUGUAAUCAUAACGAGGCAUUGUUACAGAAAGAGCACAUCUGGCAGGAGAACACACACACACACACACACACUUACUUGUAUUACUAUCUUUGAAGCAUAUUUCUAUUGGCAACCUCUAGGUUAUCACCAAUAAAAAAAAACCCCACAACCUAUUAUAAUGCAAACCUAUAUCAUUAUAAUUAUUUAUGAAUGGGUAAUUACAGAUUAUAGCAUUGAUUAUAAUGCAUUAUUAAGUUUUAAGUUCUUUUAGAAGUGAUAAAGUUAUUGACAACAACUUACCGAUCAUCUCUGUGGAGUUAUUUGUAUGCAAAACUAUAUAUCAAGACCUGUUCCUGUGACAUUCUAUACAAAUGUAUUUUUGAAUAUUUGUUAUUGGUGUUAUAAUGUGUUA